rnacentral:lncRNA from 1 species
GAGAUCUUGGUGCCCUUACAUCUGCUAGGCUGGCAGAAUGAAUUCUCUGGAAACAAUCUGGUCUGUAGCUCUGUGUCUGAGGAGAGAACCAGGAAGAUUUGGAUGGGGCUUGGGAAAGAGUUCCUGGAAGAAUUCACAGUCAGACUUAGUUCAAGGUAAUACAUGAUGGUGACAAUGGUGUGGCAGGAUUGUUUCCCUGCUCCUCAAAGCGUGGCAUCUCCUGAGACCAAGAUACAACCGGUAGUGAAAUUUAGUUAGAUUCUGAAUCUAUGUUGAAGAUAUGUAUGUCAGCUGAUAGGACUUGCUGACAAAUUGAACAUGGAAUGAAAGAAAAAGAGAUGGAUCAAGGAUGACUCCAAGGUUUUUAGCCUGAGCAAUUUGAAGCAAGGAGUUGCUGUUUCCUGACAUGGCAAAAGCUAUAGGAUGAGGACAUACUGAAGAGGUCUGAAGUUUAAUUUUGGACGUGUUAUAUUUGAGAUGCUAUUAGACAUCCAAAGAAGGAUAUGAAGCAGGUCAUUGGAUACACAAGCCUGAAGUUCUUGGGAGAAGCCUGGGUUGGCAAUAUAAAUUUGGGACUGUUUAGAGCCCUGAGACUGGAUGAGGGCACCAGGAAGCAAGUGGAGAUAAAGAAGAGGAUCAAGGACUGAGUCUGGGGAAACCCGGCAUUUGGAUGGUGAGAUGCAGAAGAAGCAACAGAGAAGACUAACGAAGAGCAGUUACUGAAGUAGAAGGAAAACUAGAAGAAUGCAAUGUCAUGGAAGGCAAGCACAGGAAAUGAUUCCAGAGCAGACCUCAUCAACUGUGCCAAAAGUGCAGAACCCUGCCUGUGUUGACCCUCAUCUACCCUUGACCUCGUUACACUCAGAAGGAGUAAGGAGAAAAAGCAAACUUGCAAUAUGUGAGUAUUGGUGCUGGGGAGAUAUUGGAUCAGACUUGUGUUUCAAUGUUUUUUUCUGCUACACCCCUUGCAACCUCAAUGAGGAGGUUUGGAUGGAACCUAUAUUCCUCACAGUCUAGGUGGAUUUUUGUCCCUAGGGAAGUAAGACAAAUAGUACUGAAAAUACUUGUGAUGUGAUGAUCAUAAAAGCAUUUUGAAAAUGACCCCCCAAAAAAGCCAUUUGAAAAUCUCAAAAAUUACCAUUAUAUAAGGAAAAACUAUAUAAACAUGGAUAGCUUUUUUUUUUUAACAGCUUUUAUUUUUCCUCCAGACUUUCACCCCAUGGAUACUAUUAAUAAGUUGAGAAGGCAUAUAUUACUAAAGCAAAAGCAUUAACAGUGGCAAUAACUAUAAAAUCACCACUCACUCACCAACACCACCAUAAUUUAUAGUUGUCAGAACUGGUAAUGGUCUCUCACCACAGGGCAAGACAUAGAUAAGGUACACAGUGGCUGUGUAACAUUCCCAGGGCUCAGAUAAAAUGCUACCCCCUGCUCUGCUGCCCAGGAGAGCACAUCAGAAUACAAAUGAAUAGGAGUAUUAUUGUUAUAAGAAUAUCUGCUCCCAUUUAUUUAUUUUUUAAAGGUAAAUCAUUUAGACUGUGCUCCUUUAUAUAUGAUUGGUGACAAAUUACUUGCCAUAUAUCUCAUAACUGGCAUGUCAAAACAGGACACUGAGAACCAUGGCUGAAGGACUGCUGGAUUCCUGCAUCAUUUUAAAGUCAAAAAUCCAUCAUGGGAGUUCCUGCUGUGGCACAGUAGGUUAAGGAUACUGGGUCGUCUCCGAGGUGGCAUAGGUUCAAUCCCCAACACUUCACAGUGGGUUAAGGAUCCCACACUGUGGCUGCUGUGGCAUAGGUUGUAGCUGUGCUCAGAUUUGAUCCUUGGCCUGGGAACAUUCAUAUGCUGAGAGCACAGCUGGGAAAAAAAAUAUCCAUCAUGGACAAUGUUUGAAUUGGAAUGAAGGCAUUCCCUUGUGAGACAGUCACUGGUGCAACUUGGGUUGCUCCUGUGGCUCAGGUUCGAUCCCUGGCCCACGAACUUCCACAUGACAGAGGCGAGGCCAAAAAAAAAAAAAAAA